rnacentral:lncRNA from 1 species
CCCAAGACUCGACCGGAGAAGAAUGGCUGCCGGCAGCGCUUCCACGUUGCUCCCGCUGGUGAUCCUGAGCCUCUGCCUGACCGCCGCCUGCUCAGAGACCGUAGCUGAGGGCGCGCCCACUGUGGCGCACGAUAGCGUGGACACGUCUUCGGGUGGCGGGGCGUACGAUUUCACCACAAGGGACCCCUUCCGCGACCCCCCGGAGAACUCCUUCACCUACGAGUAUGAGGACACCACGUACUCCCAGCCGGCGGAAGGAGAAGGAGUCCUCGGACCCGGAGCCAUCGCCGCCAUCGUCAUCGCCGUCAUCCUGGGGGCUUCGGUGCUCAUUGCGCUCAUCGUCAUCACGCUUAAGAAGUUCACCACGGCCUAGAGGGUCCGCCCCCAGGGGACUUCUUCCUGCCAGGCUUUCCCUCCCUCUCCCUUUCGCAGCAAAGGACGGCACGGUCCCAUUUCAGGUCUUACGUGCAGCAGCUCCUGACCUGUAGGGGGCGAUCUGCUGCAUGUGGAACCUGGGACAGGGGGCCAGGAAGCGGGCGGCGUGGGAGACGGGCCAGACCCUGCAGAACUGAGGUCGUACGUCUUGAGGUGCUUCCUAUUGUAAAGGGAACUAGGGUCAACGGGUCAGAAACACGGUCCCAAUCCUUUGUUUCACCGCCCAUAGGCAGACCAGUUCUACCAUUAUUUCCCACAGGAUCAAUAAAGAUGUUAUUUAUCAUGAUUUCA